rnacentral:tRNA from 6 species
GGGCGUUUGGCAGAGCGGUGAUGCAUCUGGCUUUUAAUCAGACUCAGACAGGUUCGAUUCCUGUAGCGCCCA